CUGCAUGACAUGGUUUCAGGUCAAUGUGUCUGUCACCCUCAAGUUGUUUUUGAGACAAUAUUACUCUCCUGCCAAAACAGCAUGCGCCUGUGUGUGACAUUCCAGGAGAGCUGACACAAGAGAUGACGCAGGAAAUGGUUAAUGGUACUGGAGAGCCGGGUCGACGCACUCAACCUACAAAUUGCUUUCAGCUUAUAUGCAUGUUUUGUUGUCGGUUGUUUCAGUCGCACACAUUUCCCUCACAAGCUGUGGAACCAGUUUCAAGAUAUACAGUAGGCAUGACUAGUGAAGCCCGCUGUGCUAUAGUCAUUCCAGCUCCAGUGGGUCAUAUUCUGGGCUGGUGUUUGCUUCUUGUUGGUAACAUGAAGUGAAUGUGAUGGAGAAAGGGGUUCACAGUUUGCAUGCAGAAGAACCUUCUCCUAGAGGCUGGACCCCCUUGUAAAUGAGGCAUCAUUCUCAAUGGAUCAGUCUCCUGGUUAAAUAAAUACAUACAAUAAAAACUAAUAAAAGCACAGACUCUAGUAUUUUUGUGGGGUGUUUCCAGUGCUUUAGAUCUAAGUCACUUUUGUUUUAUUAUUUGAAGUGGAGGAACAGGUUUUUUUUUCCAUUACCUAGUUUGUCUACAGAAUAGUCACUUACCCAACUUGUUCACAUUCACAGGAUGCAUUUGUAAAGCACCACUAAAAGAGAGUAAUCAUCAUCUGUUGUAAUUACAGAAAUUGCUUAUUUAGCAUUGUUGGUCAAUGGAAUACUUUCGCCACUGUCUCCUAUAAUCUUACUGCCAUCUCAGGGAUCCGUGUCUUUAAGAUCUGAUCCAACCCCAAACUCAUCUUUUGUUGGAUUUAUACAACCCCCUAGUUAUAACUGGAGGCUGGCAGGAAUCACCUCUUGAAUUUCGUUCUUUGAAAGGGAAAACCUGCAGGAAUAGACACUAGUAUCUAAAUGACUGUACUUGAAUAGUUUUUUGGAACAAUGAAAGCUCAGCUUUUUGUUUUUUUUCUCCACAAUGGCUUUGGUGUGAAUGGCCCUCUAAUACAGCUUCUUGGAACAGUCCGAUGGAAAAGUAUAUCUUCCAAAGAGCUACAGGUGAGUCACUUGGUUGGACUUCAGAAGAGGGAAUUGUCAAACCUGCAGCAAUCUGAACUGAUCAAACGGAUAGGAAGAGGAGACAAGCGUGAUAGCAUCGAAGAGUGAGGGAAGCACUAAUAAAACAUGAUCCUGUGGGAACGCCAGAGCUGUGUCGCCAGCCACCCAUGUCUGCUAGUCGGCUACCGUGGUCGGCCACACAGCAAGCAGUAAACAACAUCCUGGGAGAAUCCUGGAAAAUCCAAUAGCAAGUGAGGUCAGCUUGAGUCCUGCAGCUUGUGUUUCUGUGUGAUUUUUUUUACUAGCAGCCUCUUCUUCCCAUCACUGAUAAGCAUGAUACAGACAAAAACGCACACAAGUCGAUUUUCCUGUGGCUUCCUUUGAAUUUCUAAGUGCUUGUUGAGAGAUCAAAUUAAACUAGGCUUUGGGAUCAUUCAAGUUUUUGAGACAUUGUUUUAUCUGGCAUUUGACUUAGUCUUAUGCAUGCCCCUAGAUCCCGGUAAAGCACGGUAAAAGCAUAUUAUUAGCAGUGGGCAGCAGUGUGGAGUAGUGGUUAGGGCUCUGGACCCUUGACCAGAGGGUCGUGGGUUCAAUCCCAGGUGGAAGACAUUGCUGCUGUACCCUUGAGCAAGGUACUUUACCUAGAUUGCUCCAGUAAAAAUCCAACUGUAUAAAUGGGUAAUUGUAUGUAAAAAUAAUGUGAUAUCUUGUAACAAUUGUAAGU